UUGAAGCCAAUUUUGUAGCUAUAAUCUAAGAAGCAUUCUUAUAGCUUGAUUUAAACAAUCUGUUGUGUUUAAGAACAUGAAGUGAAUUUUGCAGUUUUUCGUUUUGCUGGAGUAUGUGCUAGUUGAAUUCUUAAAACUGAUUUGAAGCCAAUUUCGCACCGGUAAUCCUCUUCUUUACAAAGAUACUGGCAGGAAGAUGCUCAUGAAUUCUUCCAGUGCAUGCUGGACAGGCUUCACAGUUUCUACGUGGACUUGAAACUGCAAGAUGAGCCCUCAUCUUCACAUGCUAACAACUUCAUAAACCAGAUUUUUGGAGGCCGUCUUAGAAGCCAGGUAUAAGCUAUAACAGAUAAUACUUCUUUAGCCGUUUUUUAAAAUUAUUUUUCUUAAAUUUCUAGACAAAUCAGAUAUGACCAUUAUUCACUGCGUGAGAUUGCAAACUAACUAUUUAUUUUUUUCUUUUUAAUUUUCUUUUGAAUAUCACCUUUAAUGUGGCAAUUGUGGCCUCAAGAUUUUCGGGGAGCUUUUCUUACACCUUUUAACUUGGGGAGCUUUUCUUCAUUCAUAGGAGUAUUUUGGACAAUCCCAAUUUUACCUAUGAUUCAGAAAUUUUUUCUAAUGAUUGAUACUCGGCAUACUCUGGGUAACCAUGACAGGAAGUGAGAGAUUGUAGCUAAUGAAUGAGCUUAGAGGCCGAGUCCAAACCACUUUGGACAGGGUUAUAGACUGAGCUUAGAAGCCCAUGGAUUGAACCCAGUCUUGAGAUUCACACCCAAUAGCUAAUUGUUAUGUAAGAUGGACAUCAGAUAAACGAUAGUUGUUAGCCAAAAUCAAGCCAUGGAUUCCUCAAUAACUGCUUCCAUGUAAUGUAAUUGCAUCCAUUGCAUACACUGGAUGUUUUGUUUCUUCAUCCAGUGGUAUUAUGUCAUCCAAUAUAACACUAUUCCGUUAGGAACAAAUUGAAACAUGUGAGGCCUUUCCUGCAUAACAAAUGGUAAACAAUGUUGAAACUAGACCAAGGAAAACUACAAGGAGCUAACAGGAUGAAAACUACAAGCAAAACAGCAAUGAAACUUGGCAUUUUUAAUUCUCGAACUGGCAUUUCUUUUAACUUCCACACUUGUGCUGUCCACAUGCUUGGUUGGUAAUGCGUGAUUUUUAUAAACAUGCAGGGACUUCCUUUCUCUUUAAUGACACUUAAAUAUUCUAAUUUGGCUGGAUCCUUUCUUAUUGUUUUUGGUUUGUCUGGUGACUCUUUAUCAGCUUACCUAUGGGCAGUGGCAGUAAUCUUUGUUUGGAAUUCAAUUCACUUGUGCAUCCAAAAGCGGCCUAAAUCAGCUUAAGUCAGUUAGGAAAUAGACAUGGAUACUCUCAUUUCUUAUUUCCAUCUUUCUGAUAACAUCAUCAAUGUAAGUUGAUUUGGGGUUGCCAUUGACACUGGGGAAUGUGACUGUUCUCCAGCUCAAGCUAAAGUGAGGAAGACAUUUUAUACAAAUGUUCCUGAUGAAUAUAUGCUAGCUGUUGAAGAUCUGGUUGUCCCAAGAAUGAAUUUGGUAAUGCAUCAGAGAAAGAGCAUUACCAUGUGAAGGUGCUUGACAAACAUGGAGUGACUCUUUCAUGCAAAUGUUCUACAACAGAAAAUGGUGGAAAACUUGAGCUUCGUAAGGCAAGUAUUAUGCCUUCCUCUAGUCAAUAUUCAUAACUAGAUGCUAUUAGUUAAAUGCAUGUGCAUUGCAUUUAGGAAAUAAUUCAAAGUAUGCAAAAGAACAAUAAAAUCACGGAUCGCUCCAUGAUUUAUAUGAUCGAGGUUAAUCUGUGUAUGUUGAUUGCUCUCUGGGGACCAAAAUGUGUCCAGAAAUGGAUCCAUCCACACAUGAGUGAACCAUUGUUCUGUCCAUUAGAUGGUAUACAUGUCAAAAAUCCAGCUCAUUCAUCAGGUAGUGUACACUUUGCACAUGCCCUGGGCCAAAAACUGAUGUUGGUCUGCUAAUCAAGGAAAAUUAUACUUCUAUGAGAAAAAUCCUAGUACACUGCACAUAUACUCAGGCCAAAGAUCAUGUUGCUCCUUUGUGAUAAAUGGGUUGGGAAUCUUAGAAUCGGAUUUUUGUGAAGGUUUUAGCAUUCUCAACCCCAAGGAUUGUGUAUGGAAUCCGCGAGCACUUAGUUCUCAACUGGUAAUCUUUGUUGGGAGGUCGGGAAAUACAGACCAUUGAUCCGAUGGGCCCUGCUAAAAUGCAGGUAAGAUUCUCACGUGCUUGUGUAAUUAGUGAAUGUAGGGGCAUCUGCAAUUAGCAUGAAACAGAAUUUCUAGAUGAAACAGAUCUCUUCCAUAAAGAGUGAUCAGAUACAAAAUUUUGGAUUCUUAGAUCGAUAUUUAGUCUGGUACAUGUUACAGGUUGAAUUAAUCAAAAAGCGGCAUUUCAUUGCAGAUACAUUAUGCCUCAUUAAGGAUUUCCACCCGAAGCUAACACUAUUUACUAGGGAGACUUUUGGACAACUACUGACCUCCAGGAAAGGAUUAUAUUGGAGACAGGUUCUCAAUUGGUGCAGUUUGGCACAACAGGUUUAAGGUUUUCAAAGGUAAAAUUUUUUCAAAAAUUGUUACUUAUUAGUUGUACGGUUUUGCCUGUUUGGCUAUAUCAGGUUGUGGCUGCAUGGAAAGUUGUAUUGCGAUAAACAUUUGUCGAAUGGAAAAUGGACAUUCAUGUGCAUUUAUAGUCUGAAAACAUUAAAUAGACUGUUAACUGUUUUA